rnacentral:rRNA from 1 species
GCAAGUCGAGCGGUAGCACWRAGAGCUUGCUCUCGGGUGACGAGCGGCGGACGGGUGAGUAAUGUCUGGGAAACUGCCUGAUGGAGGGGGAUAACUACUGGAAACGGUAGCUAAUACCGCAUAAYGUCGCAAGACCAAAGUGGGGGACCUUCGGGCCUCAUGCCAUCAGAUGUGCCCAGAUGGGAUUAGCUAGUAGGUGGGGUAACGGCUCACCUAGGCGACGAUCCCUAGCUGGUCUGAGAGGAUGACCAGCCACACUGGAACUGAGACACGGUCCAGACUCCUACGGGAGGCAGCAGUGGGGAAUAUUGCACAAUGGGCGCAAGCCUGAUGCAGCCAUGCCGCGUGUGUGAAGAAGGCCUUCGGGUUGUAAAGCACUUUCAGCGGGGAGGAAGGCGRURAGGUUAAUAACCUYRKCGAUUGACGUUACCCGCAGAAGAAGCACCGGCUAACUCCGUGCCAGCAGCCGCGGUAAUACGGAGGGUGCAAGCGUUAAUCGGAAUUACUGGGCGUAAAGCGCACGCAGGCGGUCUGUCAAGUCGGAUGUGAAAUCCCCGGGCUCAACCUGGGAACUGCAUUCGAAACUGGCAGGCUAGAGUCUUGUAGAGGGGGGUAGAAUUCCAGGUGUAGCGGUGAAAUGCGUAGAGAUCUGGAGGAAUACCGGUGGCGAAGGCGGCCCCCUGGACAAAGACUGACGCUCAGGUGCGAAAGCGUGGGGAGCAAACAGGAUUAGAUACCCUGGUAGUCCACGCCGUAAACGAUGUCGAUUUGGAGGUUGUGCCCUUGAGGCGUGGCUUCCGGAGCUAACGCGUUAAAUCGACCGCCUGGGGAGUACGGCCGCAAGGUUAAAACUCAAAUGAAUUGACGGGGGCCCGCACAAGCGGUGGAGCAUGUGGUUUAAUUCGAUGCAACGCGAAGAACCUUACCUGGUCUUGACAUCCACAGAACUUUCCAGAGAUGGAUUGGUGCCUUCGGGAACUGUGAAGACAGGUGCUGCAUGGCUGUCGUCAGCUCGUGUUGUGAAAUGUUGGGUUAAGUCCCGCAACGAGCGCAACCCUUAUCCUUUGUUGCCAGCGGUUCCGGCCGGGAACUCAAAG